GUAGGUGGCAAGCGUUGUCCGGAAUUAUUGGGCGUAAAGCGCGCGCAGGCGGUUUUUUAGGUCUGAUGUGAAAGCCCACGGCUCAACCGUGGAGGGUCAUUGGAAACUGGAGAACUUGAGUACAGAAGAGGAAAGCGGAAUUCCACGUGUAGCGGUGAAAUGCGUAGAGAUGUGGAGGAACACCAGUGGCGAAGGCGGCUUUCUGGUCUGUAACUGACGCUGAGGCGCGAAAGCGUGGGGAGCAAACAGGGAUUAGAUACCCUGGUAGUCCACGCCGUAAACGAUGAGUGCUAAGUGUUAGGGGGGUUUCCGCCCCCUUAGUGCUGCAGCUAACGCAUUAAGCACUCCGCCUGGGGAUACGGCCGCAAGGCUG
rnacentral:rRNA from 1 species